ACUUCAUUUUGCUUCAUCACUAAGCACCCAAUAGAUCACACCCAAAAAGACCAUUUCCAACCAGCUUUUAUCAUUAACACAUUAUUUUGAUUCGCCAUAAGCAUCGGGAAAAAGACCAGAUCGAGGAACAUUUGUUUUUGUGGAAUUUUGAUAUUAUUAUUUUUUAAUAAUAGAAAUAUGCACAUCUUUUAGGAUUGGCGGUUUUAACCUGAGGGAUUCCUCGGACUGAAAGAAAUUAACAAACAAAACAAAAGAUCCACUCGGUAGGACUCGAGAUCCUUUGUGUUGGAAAUUAACAACAUCACCAAUCUGCUUUUUGUGCUGGAAUGAAAACGAAAAUUGCGAUGCCGUUAAGGGGAAUUUGUUUUUGUUCAUUUGGAAUAUUACAUUUCUUUUUCAACAGUUUUAUUUUUCCAACUGCUGGUUACGUGGUGAAGGACUGCAAGAUCACACAGAACACACAGGCCAUAUGUAAGAACAGUUUACAAGUAUUUCCAAAGGAAAUUCCAGAAACAGUCACAUUUAUAGACCUGUCUGGAAACAACAUUUCUAAAUUAAAUAAAAAAGCUUUGGAAAAUUUACCAAAUCUGUUGCACUUAAAUCUGGGACACAACUUGAUCUCCAAGAUUGAAUCUGGCACUUUUGUGGUUCAAAUCUCUCUAAAGGUGAUGUUUUUAGACAACAAUAUGCUUUGUAAGCUACAGGAUGGUAUGUUUGAUGGCUUGGUCAAUCUCAUAGAAUUGCAUCUGACUUCCAAUCAGAUCCAAACAGUAGCACCGGCCUCUUUCAUGUCUCUGAGCAAGCUUGGGUUUUUGGACCUAGGCCAUAACAAACUGCGCCACUUAACAAAUAUAUUACAACAUACGCCACAUUUAAAAUACCUGUACAUUCCAGCAAACAAUAUUUCCACCUUUGAUUCAUGGGAGCUGUCAAAUAAGUCUACAGAACUUGUUAGACUUGAUUUGUCCCAGAAUGAUUUUAUGUUCUUCAGGCUCACUGCAGGUAUCUUUCCCAACCUCAGAAUGUUGGACCUUGAGGAUAGUAUAAAGAAUGGUAUCGUCUGGGAGGUGAAUGACACAUCGUACCUUGGAAAUGUGUUUACACUAGACAUCAGUGGGGUUCGCUCCUCAUUACAUGGACUGCAGGAAGUGCUAGAGACAUGUAACUCCUCACUGAAGUAUCUGAAGUUAAACCAUAUCAAUAACAACCUGCAGGUUCUCAUCAAUAUUUCCUGCAAUAUCCGAACCCUUAGCUCUUUUGAAAUCCAAAAUAACGGCAUCAAAGUUAUUACAGUGGAAAUGCUGCACUUGUGUACUAAUCUGAAAUUAUUGGACUUGGGGAUGAAUGCGAUAACUGACAUCUCUAACAAUUCGUUCAAAUCAUUUAGGAAGCUUAAGACUUUAAUCAUGAAGUCUAACUGUCUCACAUCGGUCCCCUAUGCCGUAAGGAAAACUCAAAUCUUAAAACUGGAUCUCAGCUACAAUAACAUCAAUGUUCUUGGCUGUGAUGAUUUUGCCGAUAUGAAACUUCUCAGAAUUCUCAGUCUAGACAAUAAUCCUCUCCUGACUCUCAAGGAUUGUGUUUUCAAAGAUUUGGUCCAAUUAAGGGUCUUAAUGUUGCAAAACAGCAGCAUUGAUCAAUUAAACGGCGCCUUAAAAAAAAACACACCGAAUCUUGAAGAUCUUUCUUUGUCAAACAAUCAAAUAACUGUUCUAGAUCAUGGAGAAUUUAAAGCCCUGAAUUCCCUUAAAAAUUUGGCAUUAGAAGGAAAUAAAUUAAAACGACUUAAUAAUGGGACUUUUUUUGGACUGUCCAGUCUUAGGCAACUUACUCUCCGAUCAAAUGAAAUAAGUGAAAUUACAAAGGGUGCUUUCAGUCACUUGGAAGCUUUAAAGACAUUGAAUUUGGAUAGCAAUAAAAUCAAAUAUGCAUCGGUAAAGCCCAUUACGUAUCCACCAUUUGCUGGGCUUUCACAACUAGACACAUUGUUUAUUUCAGAUCAACACAGAUCUCAUAGGUCCAACUUCCCUCAAAACUUUCUGCAAGGCCUGACAAAUCUGUCAAUAAUCUAUAUACAACGUAACCAGCUUAAAACCUUGCAUCCACACACCUUUAACUAUACUCCUAAUUUGAAUAGGCUCCAUUUGUCUCAAAAUAUUUUCACAGACAUUCCCAACAAUUUGUUUUCCCCGAUUCAAAAACUAAAAAGGCUUCACAUUUCACAAACAAACCUAAGGUCUCUAGAUUUCCUGCUCCAUGCUAACCUCACAGAGCUGGAGCUCUUGCAGGUGGGGAAGAAUACAUUUUCUGUGGUUACAGAGCCAGUGAUGCUGUCUCUGUCAGCCCUUGAAUACCUGGAUUUGCAGGGCAAUAGCUUCACCUGUAACUGUGACAACGCGUGGUUCCUCCAAUGGGUAAUCAACAACAAGCAAACACAAGUGUUUGAUGCGUCCAACUUUGAAUGUAACUUCCCACCAAACCUCAAAGGGAGAAAACUUUUGGAGAUUGACGUCCGUUCAUGUACGGUCGACAUGGGGUUCAUCUGUUAUAUUUCAACGACAUGCGCGGUCAUCAUGACCAUAGCAGUCUGCUUCACCCACAAGUUCCUGCAAUGGCAUCUGGUCUACGCAUACUACCUCAUGCUUGCGUUCCUCUACAACUCAAAGAACAAGGACAAGGGUGCUCAUCAAUACGACGCCUUCGUGUCCUACAACGCAAACGACGAGGGUUGGGUGCUGGGGGAGCUGCUGCCCAAGCUGGAGGACGAGCAGGGCUGGAGACUGUGUCUGCACCACCGAGACUUCCAGCCAGGUAAACCCAUUAUGGAAAACAUAACAGACGCCAUCUAUGGCAGCCGGAAAACCAUCUGCGUGGUCAGUCGUGAUUACCUGGAGAGUGAAUGGUGCUCCAGAGAGAUCCAGGUUGCCAGCUUCCGUCUGUUUGACGAGCAGAAGGACGUGCUGAUCCUGGUGUUCCUGGAGGACAUUCCCAUGCAGCAGCUUUCUCCGUACUACCGCAUGCGGAGGCUCCUGAAGAGACAAACCUACCUGAGCUGGUCCCGCGCAGACGCACACCCAGACCUGUUCUGGGAGAAGCUCCGGCAGGCCCUGGAGACCCGAGAGCACCCAAUGGGUGAGCAUAUACGGCUCACCGUGGUGAACGGACCCCCUGGAGAGAGACCAGACCAUUAAAAGGCUUAGAAAUGCUGGGGGGAGGGGGGGAAUGGAUUAUACUAGAGACAUCCGAGGUCUAUCUCGAGGUCUGUCUCAAGUGAACCAGUUAUCCUUUAAGGCUGUAUUAUAAAACACCCUCUUAAUCUGGUUAAUGGGUACAUCUGCUGUUCAUUUGUAUUUGUAUGCAUUGCGACAUUGGUUUGAACAUUGUCUAAUGUGUUCCAAUGUGUGCGGUUGGGCAUGUCAACAUCUGAUGAAAUCUGCGGAGAACUAACCUGAGGUUUGCCUGCAAAAUUGAAGACUCCUUCAGGGUGGGAGUUCUGUUGUUUGCCAAUAGCUGAGUUUAUUAGCUCAAGUGCUAAUCAAUCAUUAGCAUGCAAAGGUAUGUAGACCGCUAUCACUAUAACAAGGGUGAAGUUCCCUAAGUGUAUGGAAGGGCCUGCAUUUCACCAAGAUAUGUUCCAGAUCGGGUGGGCAGAGCCUGUCCAUGACACUUGUGUCUGCGUACCAAACAACGUUAUCGCUUGUUUUUUCCGUAGCUCUAUAGCUUAUUAUUGUAUCUAGGCCUUUCUUAAAAGGGGAAACUAUGGUCAUUGGUCAAGCAGUUUCUCAUUACUUUGAACAAGUUGCAAAUGCUUUGGUACAUCCAUGCAAAUGAUUAUGUACAAUUCUCUGCUCUUUCCUACAUUAUCAAUUGCUUAUGUCAUGUUGAUCAAAAUGUAUCGUAAUGGGUCUCUAUUGAAUAGUCCCAUCCUCCCAACAUUUUGGCAUUAGUGCAUUGCAGAAGUCUGUACAUGCAAAAUGGUUCAACAAGUUGUCAUAAUAUGUCAAGCAUAUUUCUAGAAAUUUCCAUUAGACUUUUUAUUCUUCCCCAGCUGAAUCUUGAGCUUCUCUGAUGAAGGGAAAUGUGUGAAGUAACCAAGCGUAACCAACGAUCAACCAGUUUACUGAAAUAGCUCAAAGGUGCAUCUCAUGAACCAUCACUGACAAGUAUAUAUAUACCUGGAGCUGGAGGACAACACAAUGUUACAAUGUCUGAUAAUGGAAGGACAAGGAAUUGGACGGGGUCAAAAGCCAGAGAGAAGAAGAAGAGGAAGAGGAGUGAGGCUGCAUGAGAAUGAGAAUUUGUUGCCCACCAGACAGGAACGUCUGGAGGUUUAGGAAGACUGCACUGUAAUUCCUACAGCACUGCAUGUACAGUUUUCCCUACGGACAUUGUCGUAUGUUCACAUUCCUAUUUUGUUUUUUUCUUUGUGCUAUGCAGUGCUGUCUUUUCCUUUCUGUAUCGCAAUGACAUGGUCUUUCGACAAAUUACUGUACAAACAGUAAAAGGGUAAAUGUGAAUCUUGUCCGGUCUUUUAAUCAAUCUCCCACAUACACUAAGGUGUAACUUAGAAUUUACAAUAAUUGUCUUCAAAACUUUAGCCAUAGUUAACAUCAGAACAUCCACACAGAGUUAUAUUGGAAACAUGACUAAGCAAUUUGACUGUCUUAUCCGUACACAAUGACAUAAGGACUUGUCAUUCUGAUGGCACUGACAUGUUCAUUGACACAGAUAUUUACUUUUGAGAGAUGAACUAAUGAUUCUGAGCAAGACUGGCUUUUGCAGGUAAUCCAUGGUGAUUUGCUAUUCGUACGAAUUGUUUUGAGAAAUGCACUUACUGUUUUGCAAAUUUCGAGGAUGAUUCGAGAAAUGUACCAAAGAAACUGAGAAACUGAGAAAAACUUCCGUUUGCAUAAGAAUCAAGUUUUAUGAUGGAUGAAUUUAACUAAAAGAUUAUUUGUAGUGUGGAAUUUUUUGCAUGUUCUAUAUUAACCUAAUUUAGAAGAUGAAUUCGAAAUUGCUGUUUUUAUCAAUAGUAAUUGUAUUAUAAAUACAAUGCUUGUUCACAGAAGAUAUUUUUUUCUAUAUCACUGUUACACUGCACUAGAUUUUUUUUUAAACCUUAAACAAAUCACUAUGUCAAAUGUCAUGAUUAUAUACACAUGUAUACAGUGGUGUAGUAUCAAAGUAGACAUACUUAGUUAAUGUAGGCCUACUACUUCAUUCGUUUUUUCGGGAUUUGUACUUCACUUGAGGAUUUACAUUUCUAGCAACAUUCACUUGUACUCAGCUACUUUUCCUUAAUAAAAUGUAUACUUUUACUUCA